rnacentral:tRNA from 1 species
CCUGGUAGCUCAGAUGGUAAAGAACCUGCCUGCAAUGCAGGAGACCCUGGUUCGAUUCCUGGGUCAGGA